rnacentral:rRNA from 1 species
GUCCACGCCUAACGAUGCGAACUGGACGUUGGAGCAAUUAGGCUCUCAGUGUCGAAGCUAACGCGUUAAGUUCGCCGCCUGGGAGUACGGUCGCAAGACUGAACUCAAAGGAAUUGACGGGCCCGCACAAGCGGUGGAGUAUGUGGUUUAAUUCGAUGCAACGCGAAGAACCUUACCUGGCCUUGACAUCCACGGAAUCCUUGAGAGAUCAGGGAGUGCCUUCGGGAACCGUGAGACAGGUGCUGCAUGGCUGUCGU